GUCUACAGACAUGCCACCCUGAACAAGCCCAAUCCCAUCUGAUCUCGGAAGCUAAGCAGGGUCGGGCCUGGUUAGUACUUGGAUAGGAGACCACCUAGGAAGACCAGGUGCUGUAAGUG
rnacentral:rRNA from 1 species